rnacentral:rRNA from 1 species
CCUACGGGUGGCAGCAGUGGGGGAUAUUGCACAAUGGGGGAACCCCUGAUGCAGCGACGCCGCGUGUGGGAAGACGGUCUUCUGGAUUGUAAACCACUGUCCCCAGGGACGAAAAUGACGGUACCUGGGGAGGAAGCUCCGGCUAACUACGUGCCAGCAGCCGCGGUAAUACGUAGGGAGCAAGCGUUGUCCGGAAUUACUGGGUGUAAAGGGAGCGUAGGCGGGGAUGCAAGUUGGGUGUCACAACUACCGGCUCAACCGAUAGUCGCACUCAAAACUGCAGCUCUUGAGUGAAGUAGAGGCAGGCGGAAUUCCUAGUGUAGCGGUGAAAUGCGUAGAUAUUAGGAGGAACACCAGUGGCGAAGGCGGCCUGCUGGGCUUUUACUGACGCUGAGGCUCGAAAGUGUGGGGAGCAAACAGGAUUAGAUACCCGUGUAGUC